UACGUAGGGGGCUAGCGUUGCUCGGAAUUACUGGGCGUAAAGCGCACGUAGGCGGCUUUCUAAGUCGGGGGUGAAAUCCUGGAGCUCAACUCCAGAACUGCCUUCGAUACUGGAGAGCUCGAGUCCGGGAGAGGUGAGUGGAACUGCGAGUGUAGAGGUGAAAUUCGUAGAUAUUCGCAAGAACACCAGUGGCGAAGGCGGCUCACUGGACCGGCAUUGACGCUGAGGUGCGAAAGCGUGGGGAGCAAACAGG
rnacentral:rRNA from 1 species